AUGAGGGGAGGCACCGCAGAAAAGAAAGCAGGGGCUCCCCCCCUCUUUUCCCGGUGGAGAGAGAAGAGCAGAGCUCGGUUUCAAGGAAAGCGGACCUGGAGGCAGGGAAUGCGUGAGCCUGGCAGUCCCAGGGCAGCUGGAUGCCUCCGAGGCUCCUUAGGCGACCUCAGGAACCCACCAGGGGACUGCCCCCAGAGUGCUCUGUUGACGUUGGAGGCACUGGGAGGAAAUCAAAGGAGCCUGGGGAAAGCAAACUUCACUGCCUCUUUUCAGAGAUAAAGGGAAAUCUUACAAAAGGAGAGAUUUGCAGACAUACAACUGGAAUUCAAUGAAGUCAUGGUUGAGGCAUCUGCUGGGAAGCCACCAGGAAGUGGAGACUUGCAGCCCAUGUCAAAUCUUAUGCAUCUGAAGAAUCUGAAGCCUCCUUCCUUCCUUCCCCAUCCCCAGAUGGAUUAGAAACAAAACAGCACGUCUUUUGUAGGAAACAGAAAAACCUAAGGAGAAAUGCUAAUAGGUUGACUGUGAAGAUUAUGAAUACUUCUUAACUAUAUAAAUAUGAAUUGAGUGCAUAAAACAUGUGAAAUUCCUUGUAGGCAUACACUUUCACUUUUUUUUAAUUGCAUCAGAAGGUCAUUAAAACAACAAAUGACAACUCAAACAUUUAUCCUGUUUAGAAAUUGUAUAUAUGGCUCAUGAUUUACCUAUGAAUCUCAUAGAUACAAAAGUGUGUGAACCAAACACAGAAUUCUAUUAUUUGUAACCAAAUGUGUGUCAAUGUUUCCCUCUUCCUUUCUCUCUUUGAUAUACAUGUAUGGAUCUCCAAGAAAAAGUCUAAUUGAUGUGUGCUUUGGUGGAUGCUGUCACUUUGCAUCUUGACUAGUUUUUCUUAUAGGCAUAUGGGACAUCAGUGGGCCCAAGCAUCACAUUAAACAUGUUGUACUUGAAAUCAUUAAGAACACUCUUUCUCAAAACACGAAUACUAUAUUUUGUGAUGUCCUGUGCUUUUUUGGCUUUGAAGGCCAAAGUCUGCAUUAUCAACAUUACACUCAUCUGGUGUAUUCCUAUCCUCAUAUUUCAUUGAUUUCUGCUGGCCACAUUUAACUACAUGCUUCAUCUAGAUCACAUAAUCAGUUAUUUCUAUACAGAGCACCUUGAUCUAUUUGCUUCCUUACCUUCCACAUCAAAUUACCCACUUUCUUCAAUUUUGUCCACAGACCAUUGAUUUUACUGGAAAGGGUAAGCACAAUAAGCUAGUUUCUUCCUGAAUUGUAAUUUGCAAUAUAUUUAUGCUAAUCAUCUGUAACAGCUAUGGUAGCUCCAUGCUCAACAUCCCCUCCAGUCUCCUUCUGGUGUGACUUCCUGUAGUGCAGAGUCUGUGAAGCUAAAAAUUACAUUUCCCAGAUGCUUAGAGCUCAGAUACUGGCUGGGACCAAGAGGCAGAAGUGUGGGUCAUUUAUUCUCAGUUGGUGAGAAUCUAUGAGGAGUGGCACUUUUUCAGAGCCAACAGUUAUGUGAUGGUAAGAGGGUAUAUUAUGAAGCCUGUGUUUCCCCAGUGCCUUCCUUUCUCCCUUUCUUCCUGAUUGCAGUGGAGCUCACAGCUUUCCUGACAAGCUAGAUCUUCAAUGUGCUUAUGGGAGUCAUUCCUGGAAGUUUAGCCUAGAGUCUGCUACUUCAAACUUUCCGAAGAUUUGUAGGCAUCCACCUGUAUUCAGUCUGCCUCUGCUUAAAAUAGGUAAAAGUGGGUUCUGUUCCUCUCAGCUAAACCCUGACUGACAUUCCAGCCUUAAUAUUAUUUUAUCUAUAGCUCAGUUUGCUUUUGACUCACUUUUAAUUGACUCUCCAUCUCAUUUCCUGCAGAAUCCAUUACAAACAUUUUCCAUUUCCAUCAUCAUGAUUUUGAGCACAUAACUUCACAAUUUACUAAUAGUGCACUGCAAUAUGUCCCUGUAAGUGUUCUACUGCCACCUAACUAUAUUUUCUGUGUUUUUGCCCAAGAUUCUCUCCUGUAAAUAUUAGUCUCCAGGUUACUCCUUCCAUGUGCUUAUGAAUUCUUACUCUCUUUCCAAUUUCAGGACAUUCAUCUAUCAAUUGACUCCUUUCUAAUCUAUCUCUUCUCACCCUACAAAUUUAUCCAUGGCACAUUAACCUCAGAAUAUAAAUUAAGCAAAAACUUUCUUUUAAUUUCUUCACUCCAGUGUCACUCUUCUUCAGCAUCAAAUUUUGGAAAUGGUAGUUGCAUUUACUGCUUCCAUUUUCUUACCACCCAAUCAGCUCUUAACCUCUGCCAAGAUUAUUUCAACCCUUAAAUGUACACUGAAGGUGUUCCCUCUUAAGGUACUGAUGAUAUUUUAUAUCACCAGUUACGUGGCACUUUUUUCAAAAGCAAGAGCUUCAAACUUAACAUGUUGUGCUGGCUCUGUCAGUUCUUAACUCUAAUUCUCAUUUUGCCUCUCUAAAAGAUAUAAUUAAUAAUUGCAUGUUCUUCCCCAGGUUAGUGAAUGGAUUAAAUGCUACACUGUAUGCAAAGGACUUAGCAUGUUUCCUUGUAUGCCAUGAGCACUUAAUAAAUGUCAAGUAACAAUAUAACAAUAUUGAUAACAAUCUCUGCACACUGUAAGGGUUGGCCCUUCUCUCAUUCUUGGUAUAGCUCUCAGUGCAUAAUAUGUAAAGGCAGGACACACCAGCCUUAGCAGAGUCAUCUAAGUCCUAUUUUCUCUUUUCUCGGUUUUCCUUCCUACCCUCUCUUGUCUAUUAAACAAGACCAGCUCCCCAACAGCCUAUCUUCUCCAGGCUUUUAUAUUAAAAAUGUGGGGCUUACACAACUUAUUCAUUAAUUCAAAGAGCCAUUCAGAGAAGCAGAGGACUAAUUGUUAUUGGCUAAAUGCUUUAUUUUGCUCUCAGAGACCCAAAUUUUUGUGACCAGGCUUCCUUUUCUGGUUUAACAUCAUUUGUAGCUUAUUCCCUUAAAAAAUUUCUGAAUUA
rnacentral:lncRNA from 1 species